rnacentral:rRNA from 1 species
CGCCCUUACGGGAGGCAGCAGCAAGGUAUUUUCCCCAAUGGGCGCAAGCUUUGUGGAGCUAACGCCGCGUGGUAGGACGACGGCCUUCGGGUUGUAAACUCCUUUCGGGUGGGACGACCACGUCUUUACCACCAGAAGCAGCCCCUUCUAACUCUGUGCCAGCAGCCGCGGUAAGACAGAGUGUGCAAGCGUUGUCCGGUGUUACUGGGCAUAAAGGAUGCGCGGAGGCGGUCUUCGGCGUCGGCUGCUGAAAGGCCCGCUUUAACGGGGCGAGGCGUGCCGAUACGUGCAGACUCGAGGCGAGCAGAGGGUGGCGGAAUUCCGGGGGGAGCGGUGAAAUGCGUAGAGAUCCGGAGAACGCCAGUGGGGAAGCCGGCCACCUGGGCUCGACCUGACGGUGCGGCGGCGACAGGUGUGGGGAGCAAACCCGGAUUAGAUACCCGGGUAGUCCAAGCCGUAAAGCGAUGCCAGUGUCCGGCGUGUUGGGGACGGGCGUGCGCUGAGGUGUCCUUAGACUCACGCGAAUAAUGUGGCCGCCUGUGUGGACUACGAGCUGCAAGUUUAAAAACCCAAAGUGAAAUGUAUC